rnacentral:tRNA from 1 species
GGGCAAGUGGAGGAAUGGUAUACUCGAUUGACUUAAAAUCAAUUGGUCGUAAGGCCGUGAGGGUUCGACUCCCUCCUUGCCCACAA